UACGGAGGGGGCGAGCGUUAUUCGGAAUUAUUGGGCGUAAAGAGCUCGUAGGCGGUCUGUCGCGUCGAAUGUGAAAACCCGGGGCUCAACUCCGGGCUUGCAUUCGAUACGGGCAGGCUAGAGUUCGGUAGGGGAGUCUGGAAUUCCUGGUGUAGCGGUGAAAUGCGUAGAUAUCGGGAGGAACACCUGAGGCGAAGGCGGGCUACUGGGCCGAUACUGACGCUGAUGCGCGAAAGCCAGGGGAGCGAACGGG
rnacentral:rRNA from 1 species